GGUGUAUAGUGGAUGAAGAAAAAUAUGAUUAAAAAGUGGAGUACAUGGUGAAGUUGGUUAAGGAAUGACAUGUGUUCAACAAGUCUCACUAUGGUGGAGGUGAUGCUGAGUAUCCACUAUAUGUGCAUUCUGAGAUUGACACGGCGAAGAAGCGGAAGGGCAAGGGCAAGGGUGUGUGUGGUAGCAGAGAAAGGUCAGUUCUGAAACAGAGACGGUAAGUGGUUAUUUUAAGAGGGGUAGUUUUGUGGAUGCGGAGAAAUACGCUGCGAUGGAGGCGCAUGUUGAAGGGUUGAGAACAUAAGUAACUAGGUUGACUGAUGAUUUGGUGGACAUAUUCAGGAAGCACUAUGCGAUUGAUAUCUACAAGAGUUUGGUUGUCCCUCUGUAUUUAUGUUGAUGGUGGGUGUGGAGCAAAUUUUAGUAGGUUUUGAUAAGGCGGGUGGAUCUAUUUUGGUAUGGUAUUAUGUAUGUGUAUGUAAAACGUUGGUAGUUUAUUAUGUAUUGAGGCAUGUGGCCUAUUUUGCAAUAUGUGUACAUUGCAAAAUGUUUUUUGUAAGGCAUGCAGACCUUAUAUUUUACAAGAUUAUUGCCUUAUGAUGUACGAUACUCUC
rnacentral:lncRNA from 1 species